UCAUAGGGUCUCAUGCCAGAGCAAACUGUGGCUCUGAACCAUUGUCUGGCCUCUUCCUAUAGGUACCUGGUGAUGAAGUGGGUUGCACAGUG
rnacentral:snoRNA from 1 species